rnacentral:rRNA from 1 species
UGGUGGUUGACAUGUGUCUACGGCCCCCAGGAGGAGGCCGACAAACUUGAGUUCCUACAAGACCUGGUGGAUAUACGGGACCUGCACGCGGGGCCUUGGCUAGUUGCUGGAGACUUUAAUCUCAUAGCUGGGCAGGAGGACAAGAACAAUGAUUUGAUUAAUCGGAGGAUGUUAAGGCGGUUCAGAUCUAAGCUGAACAUGCUAGAACUGAAGGAGUUAUACCUGAAUGGGCGACGAUACACUUGGUCCAACGAGAGGCAGAACGCAACACUAGAGAAAAUCGAUCAUGUCUUUGUCUCCAAUGAAUGGGAUGAAGCAUUCCCAUCAUGUUUCCUUUCUGCGCUGGGUACGGCAGUAUCGGAUCACUGCCCACUGCUUCUCGAUAUGAACUUGGAGAUUAUGACGAGGAAAAGGUUCAAGUUUGAGGCGUUCUGGGUCAAGGCAGAGGGAUUCAUGGAAACAGUACAGGCGGCUUGGGACUCCACCCCUGUGGCCUCGAAUGACUAUCUUACGCUCCAGAACAAGCUG